rnacentral:lncRNA from 1 species
AAAAUAGGUCUGUACAUUUUUGAGCACCCAAAGUGGUAAGAGACAUUCUUGAAAACAGCUUAAAAAUUUCUGUAGAUACCACCACAAAUAAUCCACACAAUACUUCAACAAGCAUUUAUUAAACGCCUACUAUGUGCUCAGCACUAUACUAGGCACUCGGGGGUGCAGAGAUACAAAUGUAAAAGUUAUUAUUCCUGCCCUCAAGGAGCUUACAAUUUAAUUUUGGAAAUAAAUACAAAUAUGAAACUGUAACACAGAGUGCUAGAAAAUAAUUACAAAGCAACAUAUUAGUAAGUACAUGGACCACAGUACAAACUCAAAAGAUAAGUGCUGAGGCAGCACAGAAUGAGGGAGGUAAUGGAGAAUUUGGAACACCACUGCUCCAUAGGAAUUAUCUACUGGGUGUUACUUAGUGAAAAUGAAAUUUUACAAUAGAGAUAUUGUAAAAAUGGGUGUUUGAGGAGGAUCGUCUUUGAAAAAUUAUCUACUGGGUGUUACUGAAAAUGAAAAUUUUACAAUACGGAUAUUGUAAAAAUGGAGUUUGAGGAGGAGCACCUUAGAAACUUUAUACAAGAUGGGGAUCCUGGGAGCAAGGAAAUUGGAAAAAAAAGAAUUACAGUAACCUGGGCCUCAGAUCUACAUGAAAAGCUAUAAUGGGAUGAGAGAAAUGGGAGAUCAAGCCUCAAGGAGAAAACUGAUUAAAAACUGGACUGACAGCAAGUUUUUGGACAUGGAGAAUGGAGAGCAGAAAAAGAUAACUCCAAGGCUGGGGUAAAAAUAUAAAGGUGGUGACACUUUUCAGGGCAAAGGAAUUACGCAAUGAGGCCUGUUUAAAAAGAAAACGGGGGCUGGGGAUAUAUGGUGAUGAAUCCUGUUUUCAAAUAUCAAGUUGUACAGGUACCUGUGGAAAAUUCCAAAAGUCACAAACUGACCCACAGGCCAAAGGAGGGAGAAUUCAACAAUAUAAAAUAUAAAUUAGAUCAAAAAAGACAAGAAAUAAUAAUAAAAAAAGGCCUUAUUAUUUGUCCACUGGUGAGUCUAAGAACAUUUCACUGGAAUGCUAAGUAUGAAAGCCAGUAAAAAGAAGUUUUAAGAACAGAUUAAUGAAAAAGGGGGGUUGAAAAAUCAAAGAUAUGUUUGAAAAACCAUGAACAAUAGAGGAGAAACAGAAUGGUAGUUGGAAAUGGGCAAUGAGGAUGAAAGCAUUUCACAUUUUAUGCUGUAGAUGAACUUACUAUUGUCAUCCUAACUGACCAUCUGCCUGGCCUGGUACAUGGAUAUUUCAUUUCCCUCCACAAUUCUACUUUCCCUUUGGCAGUUUGGAGAAAAAUAUAUUUGAAUUUAUUAUUGCUUUAUCCUCCCAAUUACUCUGUUAAAUAUGUUUUGUUUGCACAAUUUAGCUUUGUAGUACUACAAAGCAUCAACACUUAAAAAUGAUAUAAUUGUAACCCCAAAAAGCAUUUUCCACCAAUUUUCCAGUAAUUGUAAUGUAUUUGCACUCUACUGCACAUUCUUUUCCCCAGUACCUCUCAUGACAAGCGCUACAUAUUUUUAAAAAGCUGGUUAGAAUUACCAUGUUCAUUAUACACACCUUAGCACAGUAGUCAGAACAGGCUCUAGAAUCAAACUGUGUGGGUCAGAAUCAGUUUUAUCACAUACUGGCUGGGUGAUAUUGGUCAGCUCACUCAACUAAGCCUCCGUUUCCUCAUUUAUAAAAUGGGGGAUAAAAUAAUACCUAUUGAUAUGGUUUGGCUGUGUCCCAUCCAAAUCUCAUCUUGAAUUGUAGCUCCCACAAUUCCCACGUGUCGUGGGUGGGACCAAGUGGGAGGUAAUUGAAUCACGGGGGCAGAACUUUCCUGUGCUGUUCUUGUGAUAGUGAAUAAGUCUCACAAGAUCGGACGGUUUUAUAAAGAGUUCCCCUGCACAAGUUCUCUCUUUGCCUGCUGCCAUCCAUGUAUAAGACAUGAUUUGCUCCUCCUUGCCUUCCACCAUGAUUGUGAGGCGUCCCCAGCCAUGUGGAACUGAGUCCAUUAAACCUCUUUCCUUUAUAAAUUACCCAGUGUCAGGUAUGUCUUUAAUAGCAGCAUGAGAACAGACUAAUACAUUUAUCAUGAGCCUGAGAAAGGCAUAACAGGGUUGGGCACAUAGUAAGUGCUCAAUAAACGUCGGCUAUUAUUAUUUGGAGACUCAGAACCAAGAGUAAAGUUAACUGCUCUGUUUGGGAAUCAACCACCAUAUUCUAGCACUGCACCUUGCUCCAUGGAGAAAAUCUCUGAAACCUAACAUGCCUCUCCCAGGGCUAUGUUGGAUGGCAUUAGAGUUAUGAAAGAACCACCUUAUCAUGUCAGUUCCUAAAAUGAGAAGCUUAGGAUGGGAGGAGAAAGUACUGAUGAAUAGUUCAUUUCAGAUGAACAUAAAGAUAGAAUCUAUAGGAUAAAGGAGCUUAAUGAAUGCCAUUCACAGUUAAGAGCUCAAAAUGUCAUACAGCCUAGUCAAUAAUAUUCUAUGCUAAGAGUGUGAACUUGAGACAAAGAAUGAUUUCUAGUGAUGUCCUCAAAGAAUCCACAGCCUUUUUCUAUUGUCUUAUACCAUUUGGCUAAUUCUGUAUAUGUGCUGUAUCAGCUUUGAUAAUUCUUUCAAGACACAGUCUUUUCUCACACCCAAUAUAACACUAAUUUUUCUAGUCAUAUUAUUUUCUCCAAAUUUAUGCCACAUGCUUAGUAAUUCUGAGAUUUAAGUAAUCUGGCUACAUAUUACUCUUAAUACUGACACAUAAAGAGACUUUAGCUAGUACAUCUGUAUACAUUUCAAUGUGUUGCUCUGGUCUAUGGCCAUACCACCCUGAAUGCACCCAAUUUUGUUAAUAUGUUGCAUUGCUAAAAGGACUUU